GAUGAACGCUGGCGGCGUGCCUAACACAUGCAAGUCGAACGGACCAAGUUUACUUGGUUAGUGGCGGACGGGUGCGUAACACGUAGGUGACCUGCCCUGGAGUGGGGAAUAAUCCCGCGAAAGCGGGACUAAUACCGCAUAUGCUGGUGGAUUCAGUUCCUUCAGUAAAGCAGCAAUGCGCUUUGGGAUGGGCCUGCGGCGGAUUAGCUAGUUGGUGGGGUAACGGCCUACCAAGGCGAUGAUCCGUAGGGGGCGUGAGAGCGUGACCCCCCACAUGGGCACUGAGACACGGGCCAAACUCCUACGGGAGGCAGCAGUGAGGAAUAUUGCACAAUGGGCGACAGCCUGAUGCAGCAACGCCGCGUGAGGGACGAAGGCCUUCGGGUCGUAAACCUCUUUUCUGAGGGACGAGACAGGACGGUACCUCAGGAAUAAGUCUCGGCUAACUACGUGCCAGCCGCCGCAGUAAUAC
rnacentral:rRNA from 1 species